AUUUCAUUGAAGAUUUGAUUAGGCGUAGAACCAGAAACUUUAGCAAUUUCUUUUAUUUUAAUUUUAGAUUUUACGGCUUCGAUAGCACUUUGAUCAGAUGCAUGGUUAUGAUCGUGAUGAGCACUUAAGAUUUUUUUUUUGUUUAAUGAUGAUUUUAAUAUAGUUGGACACUUAAAUGAACUGCUUUUCACGCAUUUCCACCGAAUAAAAUACUUACAUUCUUUGUGUUUUGUAUACAUAACCCUUUUAAAGCAACUUUUUCGUUAUUUUUAUUCGAUUUUAAUAUUUCCAUUAUUGAUCACGGACAUGAACUAUGAUUAAUAAUAGUUCUUGAUCACGGAGCACAAAGCGAAUUACAUGUAACAACUAACAACGAAUUACAUGUACCUAUUAGGUACAACGAUCGAUACAGACUAUAAUAACGCAAAACAUAUCAAUAUCUUCAAUUUUAUCGAUCGACAAACGUGUUAUUUUUAUAAUAGUAAGAUACCGUUUGUACAGAUAAGUAAUGGUUUUUUUCGCCCAUAUAGGUAUGUAACUAUUAGAUAAAUUAAAAAUAAUAUUUAUUUUGUAAUUUAACAUAAUUGAAUACCAUCCUAACUUUAUUUCUUAAAGACUAUUAGGCCUUAAUGAAACGGGUACUUUUUUUUCGUGGACUUUUUUUCCGUUCACCGAUAUAAUAUGACUUUUUAUAAAUAUAUGAAGCUUAUAUGUAUAGUUUAAUAAUUACAUUUAAACUAAUAACUAGGUAUUAAUAAUUAAUUACUUAUAAGAGAUGUAUAAAAUCAGACAGUACCUAAGCCAGAUAUUUUAUAAAUUAAUUAUCAGGAUAACGGGAUGGCCAUUGCCAGCUAUAUUAUAGGCACUAAUUUAGUAAUAUAUCUACUACAUUAUUAUCCAUAAAAGACAAUAUGUCAAUGCUAUUAUAAUUAGCAAAAUGAUUAUGGCAUUUAAAAAGUGAGCACUAAAUUAUUGCAAUAACGUUGCUGCGUUGGCAAUGUAUACUAUGAUAGUCAGUCGGUGGUAUUGCCCAAACGUGACGUCACACAGUAUACGAAUACGAUUUUGGCGUCAAUAUCUUUGCCGCGACUGUUUAUAUGGCCGAAGAUGAAACGAAUUAUUGAAAAAAAAACAAAAGAAGUAAAAUUGAAACAUAGACGUAUUAUAUUAUUAUUAUGUCUAUGAUAUGAAAUAAGAAAAAUAAUUACAAGGAUACCAACCUUCUGUCUACAGUAAUUGUAUUUUCGACUAUUUUAUACCGCCACCGUUUCUGUAUUUCCGUUAUUAACCUAAUCGUUCAGUAUUUUCUCGUUGGUUGUUGUUAUUCACCGGAUUAAAUAAAUAUAAAUAGUAUUGUUUGGGUAAAACGAUUUUAUUAGUCAUUAAUAAUCAUAAUAUUAUUUAAAUAACGACCCGGCUUCUAACUCACGGCGGAGUACCUUUAUACUAAGCACAAAUACGUGAAUAGCGCCUUCGGUUUUAAACAUUACACGUAAUUCGUAAGUACACGUUACGAUCAUGUACCUUGUUAUUUAAUCUGUGUAUCAUGUUACGACUUCAUAGCGGCAUUGUGCGUUUCGCCGGAUCCUGCGGAAAGUUGAUAUCAGAAUGCACAAUUGUAUCCACGCCGAUGCGAGAUUGAUGUAUUUGCAAAGUUAUGAGCUCUAAAUCAUUGAUCCACAUGGCUAAUAUAUAUGUAUAAGAACUUGAAAAACUAGCUUAACCACAACAACUCUGAAUGAAUCUUGACCGGAAAAUAAAUUAAUGUAGAUUUACAAAGAGACAAAUUUUACUUUAAUGGACAUUGAAGAGUAUUAGUGUAAAGUUCUAAUCCACUAUCGGAAUCAAACACUUUGAAACAGCAAUCAUCAGAACAUGAAAGAAGUUUUGAGCAAUCACGACUAAAACUCAUUUUAUUUACACUGUCUGCAUGUCCUGUAAUUCAAUCAAUUGCAGUUGCUUAGUAUUUCAAUAUAUAUUAUGUAUUAGUAUAUUUUAAACGUUAUGGGUUUUAAUAUAUUGGCAACAUAUUUUGUGUUUGUAAUGUUAUUAAGUUAUCAUAAUUUUAAAGCAACCAUUCUCUAAUCAAUGAACUGGUUAAAAUAACCCUUGCCCUCACCAAAAACCCUAAUUCAGCUUUAAGAGAAGUUAUCAACUCAAUUUUGGUCCAAGGAGCUUGUGGAGCCUUCCAAAUACGCGCAGUACAAUCUAAAGAACCAGUUAUUAAGAAUCCAUUUUUAGACCAUGCUAAACAAGAUAUGG
rnacentral:lncRNA from 1 species